UGCCGGUUUCGUAUGGUUGUGGGCCCCC
rnacentral:sRNA from 1 species